AUUUAUCUCUACAGCUUCAGUCGAAAUGCAUUGAGGGAAAUAUAGUUAACCAAAAGUGUGAAAGAAAACCAAAUAAACUAACCAAGUAAACUGAAGUCAUUUCGGCACUUUAUUCUAAAAUAAUCUAGUAGACAAGAUGUAAUAUUAGUUAUAAAUGUGAAUACAAGGCGUUCAGGGAGAUUUUUAAUCAUGCUUUUAUUUAACUUCACUUCAAUCUCCAUGUUGUCUUUCUAGCUGUUUUUAAACCCUUUUGUUAAUCAGGAUCAGGACCGUGUGAACCAUAAAAACCCCGUUUUACCAUCAAGAUGAGGAAAUGUAAUUAUACUGGAAAACAAAUAGCGAAACUGUGUGCAGCUUCGUAUCUGUUGACGCAGGAGGGGGAAAUCCUCUCACAAACAUGUCGGCCGUCCACGUCACUGAGUAAAGGCUCACGCCGGAAAAGAUGUACACUCUCUUUUCACGUUCACUACGUAGGGCUUAAACCCAUUGUUUAUGCACCCUAUGUAGUGCACUAGAUGUUUUAUUGUGGAAAUGUUUAAAAUGCUGCUUUUGGUCAUUUCUAAAUAUAACUCGUUGAAAUUGCUGCUAGCAAAAGGCGGAACUGAAGUCCGUAAGUUUUGAUUUUUCUCCGUGUUGAGAGGAGGAGAAGAGAGAAGAGAGGAGAAGAGAGAAGAAGAGGAGAAGGAGGAGAAGCUUUUGUCCUGCUUUCUGCUUUCUCUCAACACAAACAAGGGAUUUAUUAUUAAAAAUGGCGAGCAAAGAGCAGUCGCCGGUGUUGGCUGAAUGCGCGCUCCAGCUCCGUACACUUGGAGAUCUGCUGAACUGGAAAUACAUGCUGCUGGAGUUUCUGGUGAGAACUUUACAAUCAGCUAGCGACGAUCCGGCCGGCACGACGUAAAACCCCAACAGGAAACUCUUUAAGAAGCUUCUAAUCUCUUGAGGUCACCUGAGGCCUGAGAAGACAUGGCUGCACAUUUUCUGCAUCCAUCACAAAAAAAAGAGGAAAAAAAAUCUUCAGUGAGGACUGUCUGUCAAAUGGAAGGCGACUGUCUCACACCUUGCUGUCCGUCGAUGAUACCUGGGAUGAUAAAACUGCUUCCUUUCUGCUAUAUUCCUUCUUCAGAGAACGGACUUUAGAUCGCGUAGCACCAUGGAUAAGGUGCAGGAUUGCUUCGUGACGUCUUGUGUCACAUGGACACUAUCAUAAAGACCUCGGCAUCAGCAGUUCUAUUUAUUUAUACACAUAUACAACCUGUUUUGUUUGGGUUCAUAUGAGUGGUUGCUUUAAAAAAAGCUGAGAUUUUAAAUUACAAUUUAAGCAACUUUUAUUUAGAUUUUAGCAGCUUUUACCACGUUUAUUAUUUGAUCUAAGUUGUAAGAAGAACAAAAGUACACACUGUUUAUGUCUCAGUACUGUAUAGAUUGUGGAGGAAACAGAAAAAUAUCUCUUAUGAACAGUUUCACUGUUAGGAUUUAAAGAAAAGAUGAAAAGAAAAAAGAGUUUGGUGAGCUUCUGAUAGCGGGAACUACCAGACAACGUGAAUCAGCAGUUUUCGCAUGAUGUGCUUUAUGUAAUAAUGAUACAGGAAGCUGAUAUUCGUGGUUAUUACUGAAUCUUUAUGACACAUCAGUAAGAAUUUCUCACACUUUCAGGACCGUGUUGUCUGCCAUAUGGUUGCCAGUUCCACUAAAAUUAUGUCACAUCAUCUAAACACAUCAUGUUACAUUUCAUUUCCAGCAUACGCUCUUAUAUUUUUAUACUACUGAGCAAUUGAGGGUUAAGGGCCUUGCUCAGGGGCCCAACAGUUGUAGCCUGUUGUAGCACAACCUUCCAAAUGGUGGUCCAGCACCUUAAACACUAGGCUACCACAUCCCACAUUAUGAGUUUUAAAUCCCAUGGUUUUAAAAACACGUCUUUAUUUCCAACAGCCUUUGAUGCCUUGCUAGGGUCAAAAAGUGAAUGAUUUUCAAGUAACAUCCAGAACACUGAGAUCAUGUGUGUGAGCCUGCGUGUGAAGUCUUUCUGUGUUAAUGAAGCCAGUCGAGUAAAUCUUUUCUUAUUCUGUUCACUUUAGUGUUGUGUUUGAUUACAUGGUCCAUUUACUCUGGGAUUUAUUUAUACUCUUGUCCAUGUUACACUACAGUCCAUGUACUGUACUGUAUACUUGUAUUGUUACUUCCAUUUAUUCACAAUUAAAAUACUUUUACCAAUU